GCCAGGUGUGGUGGUGCACGCCUGUAAUCCCAGCAUCUUGGGAGGCUGAGAUAGGAGGAUCGGGAGUUCAAAGCCAGCCUCAACAAUGUUGAGGUGCUUAGCAACUCAGUGAGUCCCUGUCUCUA
rnacentral:sRNA from 1 species